UACGUAGGGUGCGGGCGUUAAUCGGAAUUACUGGGCGUAAAGGGUGCGUAGGCGGUUGAUUAAGUCAGUUGUGAAAUACGGCAGCUUAACUGUCGAGGUGCAAUUGAUACUGGUUGACUUGAGUACAGACGAGGUAGGCGGAAUUGACGGUGUAGCGGUGAAAUGCAUAGAUAUCGUCAAGAACACCGAUAGCGAAGGCAGCUUACUAGACUGUAACUGACGCUGAGGCACGAAAGUGUGGGGAUCAAACAGG
rnacentral:rRNA from 1 species